AAUUACCCUGGAUUGCGUUAGGGAUAGAAGCGAUAUCCUUUUUAUUUUUUCUUUAAAAAUAAAAAGAUAUAGCGGAUAGCCCGACCGGAG
rnacentral:sRNA from 3 species